GAGAUCAGUGAGAAGAAGCGAAAAUAUUCAAAAUGGAGUCGGAAGUGGAUCAAAAUUGGGCAUUUGAUGCUUUCAAUGACGGCUCAAUAAGUAAGUUUUUGCAAUUAUUACACGUGAAACAAAUAACGCAAUACACCAACUUUGUAUUUUUGUUCCUGCAGAGAUAGUAAGCGAAGUGCAACUUCGAAAAUAUGGUCAAUUUUUGGAGGAAUACGCAUCACAACUGAAAGGUAUUGAAGAUGCAUUGGACGAAUGGAUUGGAGAGUCGUGGGAUUUCUCACUUGACCCGAUUCAACUGCAG